UUUGGAAGUAAAUUGUACACUAUGACAUAAAUGUCAGUUGCUAAUUUUAUUAUUGUGCUACUCUUUUUAUCUUUGAAGUAAAGUUUUCUACUUUUCUUCAUUUAGAUAUCAUGGAACAUGAUGCUCUUGGCAGGACACCAAAUAUCAACUUUCCUACAAAAAUCAGAAAACAGAGUAAUUGGGUUCAGCAAAAUCUUUCAAUUUGGGUGUUACUAGUGUAGACUUCAUGAUAACUCAAAAUAAUUUUAUCAAAUUUAAAAAAAGAUAUGUUAAAUUGAGUUUGUCACAUAAUCAUGGAAGUUUUGGGCUGAUAUAGACUUCAAAAAAUUAUCCAGUGCUUAAAUCUGCUAUAAUAUCCCUACUGAGUAUUUCCAGAACCAGCUUUGGUUAAUUCCUGUGAUGUGUCCUUUGGAAGCAUGUGUGCACUAUGCUAGGAACAUUUAAAAAAGCAAUUCAGUACCUUUGUAUGUGAAUUACAAAUUAUUCUCAUCCACUCAUUAGAGCAGGGCAGGGCAGCAUGCCUUCUACUAGGCAAUACUUACUUAAUUUAGUUGUAUUUUAUAGUAACAAAAUUUCUCUGAAAAGAUAUACUUUAUAAUUCACACUUUUCACAAAUUCAGCUCACCCCAAACACCUACUUUUUUAAUGGUAAGGUAUUACCAUAUUAUGAAGAAAUUUAAAAUGUAGGGAGUGACUUUCACAAGUAUUAGAAUAUACUGGGAUAUAGUUAGUUGGUUUGGAGAUUAUUAAGCAGCAACAAUUUGCGCUUGGGAGGGAGAUGAAAGCUGGUCUUGCCUUAAUUUGUUGGAGUCAUGGGCUGAGUCACAGUAAGGUCCAGGCACAGGGUCAUGUCAAGGCAUGAUCCUAACUCUGUUAUCUACAGGAAGAGAAAGGGCCAUUAUACUUUGAGACUGGGAUUCUUUCCUUUGUAGUAGCUUUAUGAAAAUAGAAUUGAGAAGAGUCGCAUUUUCAUAUGGACUGCUGGCUGUAUAUGGUUUGUACGUGAGAAUUUGAAAAUGGAUAUCUUUUGAUAACAUUAAGAAAAUGACAGAUUUUAUUUAUUUAGAUAGUUUUAUAUGCAAACCUACUUAUAUACAUAUAGAUGUGUGAGCGAACACGUGUGUUUGUAACAGGAGGCAUGCAGAGGUGAAACAGUUAUGCCCUUUGAUAAUACCAGGUGUGAUGGGCUAUUGAAUGGUUUCCUAUUGGAAGGACUCAAGCACCUUGCAAGCAGAAAGUGACUCUCCCUGUCCAAAGGGGUGUGAAACUUCUCCCACUGCGGAACCUCACAGGAUAGAGAAACGAUACAGCUCUCUGAAAGGGUGGAGUGGCAGGGGGUUCAGGUUAGGGAACAGGGAGCUGCAGGAAAAUGCUGAAGGUGUUUUCAGAGUAUGUUGGUGGGAAUCAGAGUUUUCCCUAGAAAUAAAUUAUUAAACGCUUGGAACCUAGUGUUUAAAGACUGAGUUCUAAGAAAGUGUGCAGGCAAAGACUAAGGGCUGUGAAGCAAGAAAUGAGCAUUCCUGUGUGGAAAGCUUGGGACAGAAGACUCGGGGGCCACAGGAAACACAGAGAGACUGUUCUGUAGCCUCAUUAGUUGCACGAUUCUUCAACAAACCCGCACCAGACUCACCGCGGAACGCAUUAAAAAAAUGCUAAUUCCUCAGCCCCGCUUCAGGUCUGGUGAUUUUGGAAUAUGUGGUUUUAAGCAAGCUUCCUGGAUGAUUGUUAGUCACACUGAAGGCUGAGAAUGAGGAGGAAUGGAAUAAUCAUUGGUGUAAUGCCUGUCUGCUCUCUAUGUCUUCUAUAAGGACAAGGACUGGGUCUUGUUCUGCAAUGUUUCUCCGGCACCUCAUUCAGCCCAUCGACCAUCAAAACCAUUCAAUAAAUAGUUUUUGAAUAAUUAGAUGAAUGAAUGAAUAAAAGGAACUAUAAACUGACAUGAUAGCCCACUCCAUGCCUUUUAUAAUUCUUUGUCUUUUGAUAGUAAAGGCCACAGGUUCUAGUUCGUAUUUAAGAAGGGAGUUAGACAUUUUUAAUGAAAUCCAUUUGAUGUUUUAAAAAAUCCUGCUUCUAAGAGCUUUAAAGUAUUGUUAUAUAUAGGUAUCUUGAUUAGAUGGAUUCUUGCUGACUAUUACAGUACAGAUGCUGGCGCUAAGAGUGGGGAACUCCAGGUGUGUGCAAUGUUAAGAAUUCUUUGUUAAUUAAAUUUGUUUCUGUCUGCUGUCUAUUGCACACCUAGCUAGAGGGAUUUCGGGGAAACAUGUAUGAACUUACAGUUAAAAUCUGGAAGAAAGAGUUCAAAGACAGAGCACAUCAUAUUGUGGUGGUUUGAACAUCUUUCAACUCCCUCCCUGUUAUGCAACUGAAGGAUACAGUGGAGCUGCAACCUAACCCCAAACCCUUCUUCCCCAGACAGAGGAUUUUUUCAUAAAAUCCACUCAGGCCCUUCUUCUCAUGUUCUCCAUACACUUCUCACCAGAAAAAAGAAAUCAUUCAUAUCUAACAAAGGGUCUUGGAUUCUUCAGAUAGUUUCCAUUAUAAGCUUUUGGCACCGUUAUUACUCUCAGCUCAAGUUACCUUUCUGAUCCCUCUUCUUUCAUCUGCUGAAAAUGGAUUAUUUCCUUAUUAGCUCGAAACCCUUACUGUUCACUGGAAGCAGGCCUGUGUAUGAACAAUGCUACCCCUGGCAUAUUCCUGAAGUUCCCCGGUUGUUCUGAAACUUGCCCUUAAAGCAAGCUUUCCUGAGAGUGGAAUGACAGUGUCUUUUCAGGAAAGGGCUGCUAUCACCAGAAAACUUUCUAGACCCUUGCCUUGAGAAAGCUGAGCACUGCCAACAAGUGCUGGAAACCAUAACAAAGUGUUUUCUGUGAAGGAGAUGUCUUAUGGGUUGGCUCUAUUUGGGGUUCAUGGGUCUAAGAGGCACAAUGAGGAGACUUGGGAGUCCUUCCUCCGCAGCUUCAGCCAGAGAUUUUCCGCUUUGAACUAUUUCAUCAUGGAAAUUUGACUUCUUGGUUCAUUUGGAAAAAAAAGAUCUACUUCCUAAAUAUUUUAGAAAUCACUUUAUAGACUAUCUCAAAUUUGAAAUAUUUUCUGAGGUUCUUUACCAGGGUUCAUGGAUAUUAUUCAAGGAUAUUUGAAUUUAGAUGAGAAAAUAAAUUAUGCCUUUAUGUUCACUAAUCUCUGAAAGAAAUUUAUCAUGUCUGCUAAUUAUGAUGGAGAGCAAUAAUAUUAGCAAUGGAGAGUCACAGUAAUAUUAGCAAAAACCAGGACUUUGUCAUCACUAGAAAUCACAGAUAUCUUCAUAUCACAUUGCAGUCGUUGAAGAUGUCUUGAAACAUUAUUUACAUUUACCACUAUCUUGAAAUUCUGGUAAAUAUUAAUCCCUCUAAUAGAGCUUGCUUUGUGAUGCAUGAAUACAGAAGCACUAUUCUUGCUAUAGCACACUAUUUGAAAUAUUUUGAUACAUGGAUUUGGUAGCUAUCUAUUUGAUAAUGUGUAUAUAUUUGAUCACAACAUACAUAGUAACUUUAGUUGCUCAAUGCACUUUCUUCUUUUAUGUAUUUAAAAUACUACUCUGAAAAGAGGUCCAUGAUUCACCAGACUGUUAAAUGGGUCCAUAGCAUAAAGAAGUUCAGAACCCCUGAAAGCAAAUCAGGGUCUGCAUUUUGUGGUUGUAGUAGCUAAUGAGUUGUGAGAAAUAAAAAGAGCCCUUGACUUGAAAUCAAGAGGUCUGUGUUUGAGUCUCAGAUCUGCCACUUAACAGCUAAAGAGCAAGUCAUGGGCUGCUUUGAGCUCCAGUUUCCUUACUGUUAUAGGGAAAUAGAAACAAUGGCCACCUUGCAGGUUAAUUGGCAGGGUGAGAUCAAUGGCUUAGGAUCUCUUUGUCUCUGGUCUUCCUAACUCAAUUUUUAAACAUCAUACACAUGCAUGCAUUUUUCUUUUGAAAUAGAGUCCUGAUGAUAUUAUUCCACCCCUGCCUAUAGGAUAUAGUCCAGCACCUCAGCCCAGCACAAAGUUCUGGAACCUUCUCCAACAGUGCUCCCCACUCAACCACUUCAGCCAUAAGGAGCUUUUUAUCAUUUCCUUAUCACAUCAUCCUUUUCCUUCCCUUAAGAACCUUGUCCAUUCAGUUGCCUGUCCUUGGAAUAACUGUUCCAGCUUUUCCAUUCAGAAAAUGUACACUCAAAUCGUGCCCUUCUCUCUGCAGCUCUUCCCCUGGUUCUCUCAGCAGACUCCCUCUUCCUCAAUGCUCCCAGGGACGUGCUCUGCUCCUCUAUUAUAACAUUUGACACCUGCUUAUAUUAAUUCAUUUUUACCAUGUUUGAUUCUCUCAUUCUCAUUUAUAUUAUGAUUUUUUUUCAAGCUUGGGAUAUGAAGCUGCAUUAGGGAGAAAGCUUGCACAGCUUAAAAAACACGUUGAUAUUAUCAUCACAUUGAGUGGACGUUGGUCAUUGUAUUUCUUUUAUUUUGGAAUUCCAGAUACCGUGAAAGGAUUUGAGGUUUUUCUUUGCGAAUCCAAAGAUGGCAUUUACAAAAGGUGGAGAAGCAGUUCCCUAUUGAGGGACAUGCAUACAAAAAGCAGAUGACAACACAUCCCAUAGAGUUCCCAGGGAAGAAUGAACCCAGAUUCUUGACCUGCAGAGGUGGUGUACUGCCUGGAGAAGUCACUGGCUGGCAACCGUGCUAUUCUGUCUGUCCACCUAACUGUGGGCUCCCAGAUCACCACUGCUAUGGGUUAUCGCAAUCGACUCCAGGCUGGAACGGGCAUUGCUCUUGCACUGAAGAAAGUCUGUCCUGACUCCCUCAGAGUGCCUCAACAUCAACUGAGAGCCACCAUGAACCUCUGGGGCACUGAGCCUGGCCACCAGCAUCUGCACCCCAGCCCAUAUGGCCUGGGCCUCUCCCUUGGUGACGCUGCACACCACCUGUGACCUCUCUGAGCCUCAGUUUCUUUGAAGGAAAGGAGGGGCAGCAACACAAACUCUGCUGAGUUGUCGUGAGGAUCAGAAGAGCAAUAUUGGCAAAUGUGUUUCAUAAAUGAUACAGUACCAUAACUGAAAAAGUCUCCUGCAACUGCUUUUACUGCUUACAAAUUUUAGUAUCAAUGUCAUGUAGAUUAAAAGAAAAAUAGAGCCCUUAUAUUAAAUACUGCAGAGGGCACACAGCCUUUUAAUGCCUUCUAACACUCAUUUCCAGUAAGGGGAUGACUGUAAGCCUUUCUGAAAUGAAACACUCUUCCAUAGCAUUUCAUUUGAACCUAAUUUUACUAUGUGCCUAGUGUGUACAGAGUUCCUCUAUGGGUAAUACAUGACUCACCCCUCAAGCUUUUCCAUCAACAGUGAAAAGUCGUAACUAUUUGAUUUCCCCAAUAAGGAAUUAUUAACAGUAAUAAUCUUAGAGAAUAUUAGGUUAGGCGCUGUGAUCCCAAUUCUCAGGGGAGGCCCAGGCUUGAGUAUAGUAAAUAUUUUAUAGUAAUCCCCUGGCUAAACAAAACAGAUGCAGAGUCCUGGGACUCAAGGUCUGGAUUGUAGCUGCCUCAGUGAAUCAAGUCACUCGCCUCUGGCUUGGUCAUUCUAGCUUGGGUGCUACGGAUCUGAACUUCUAAAGCCUGCAAGACAGAAGGCUCUGCAAACUCCCAAAUUCAACAUAUCCCAAAUCAAACAAAGCAUCUAUUCCAUAGACAUGACACCACCAGCUUUCCAGUUUCUAAAAUUCAAGAUUUCAGUGUUACAACUGACACAACCUUCUCACUUAUUAAGGCCCAUCAGGACUGGCCUAUGUCUAGCCAGGCAGAUCACCUAGUCAGCAUUUGCCAUUUGUCAUGUCCUUCCAUUUUUGCACCCACUGUCCCAUUUCAAGCCUUCAUUAUUCUCAGGUGAACCAUGGACAUUUUGCUUCUUUUAAAAAAUCUCAUCUGGAUCUCGUUAUUCUAGCCACCUUUAGUGUAUCCUUUGUACAUCACUCUCCACUCAUGUGCCAUGCUGGGUUUCUAAAGCACAGGUAUGAGCAUCCCACUAGCCUGCUCAUAAGCUAUUUAUGACUCCCUAGUGCCUAUAGGGUAAUGUUUACAAUCCUUGGCCUGGCAUUCUAGGACCUUCAUAAUCUGAUCCCUAUCAAUCAUACCUUGUUCUUUAGCUAUACUCAACUACUUGCUGUUUCCUAGACACACUUUGCUUUCCUUCCUCUCUUCCUUUGUUCAUGCAGUUUUAUUCACAUGUGAAAUCUCUGUCCAUCUUCAGGGAAGAUGUGAAGAAAGACACUUCCCUCAAAAAAGUGUCUUUUCCAUAAGAAUCCCUUAACUGGAGCUAAAUGUCUUUUUAACCUAUAUGCCCACAGAACUUCCUGCAUCUUAUACCAACUCUUAUUACUCACACUAUAAUAUAAAAUACAAGGGUCACAGGUAGGAGGCAGCACAAAGGAUACUUUCUUGUAAAUGUCACAUCCGAACCCUCCCUUUAAAGAACAUUAUCCCCUAUUAUUCUCUUUCAUAGAAUUUCAUCAUUUCUCUAUAAAACAUUGAACUGUGUUCAUAAUUUAUAUUUGUUCAUACACCCAUUAUUUAAUAUUCGCCUUACCUAUAGCACUGCAAACUCACUUUGGGAAUGGACCGUGCCUGUAUGUUUAUGUCUAUCACCAGGGCUCAGCAAAAGUGCUUGGCUCAUAGCAUAUGUUAAAUAAAUACUAGUUAAGUAAAUAAACAAAGAAUGAAAUGCCUGCAACUCUACCUAGAUUGACAACUUCUUGUGGAUAUCUUUGCACUUCACUGCUCCAUCUAUCCCAGUCCUUUUGCUAGUAGAUGCCCAACCAAUGGUAAUUGAAUUGGAUUUUAACAUUAAGUCUUCAUUUCUUUCUGUUGAGUGAGGAAACUAUUGUGAUCAACUUGUUGCCCUUUGGGUUUGUUCGUGAAAGAAAAGUCAUCAAAAAAUAGGCAAUAAGGUAGUCUUUGCUUGCAUUCUGGCAGACUUAUGCAUGGGAGGUUCCCAACAUGUUUCCCAACAGAAAGCCUUUUCAUGGUAAUGCAGAUCUACAAAGUGGAUGUUAGUUGCAAAAAGAUAAUCAACAAAUCUCUUACAAGAGUCUUUUUAUACCGCUACUGUCAAGGGUAAUCAUGUUAGUUUAAGAAAGACAUUUUGCCUUCAUUCUAAGUAUUCACACAUGAAAAUGUUGUCAGGUAUGGUUUCUGGCUGUGAAAUUAACAUCUGCAGAAAUUUAUAUAUGUGUUCAUAUUGUGGAUGACCCAUAACUUUAAUGAGGGCAGAACAUAAUUCAUGUGUGAAUAAAUUGAUCAGACAAAUUGUUCAACCAUUCAUCUAUUUGUUACUAUUUUGUACUUUAAUCUUUCAUUCAUUCGUCUGCUCACUUGACAAGUACCAGAGUGUUAAUUGUGGGCUUAGUAGAGUGAAAGCUAUAAGCUCACACAAGAGGUACCAGUACCAGCCCUCAGUGAGAGCUUAGUGUGCAUAAAAUGAUCACAGAAGGCUUUAUGGAGAAGUCAAUACAUAAAAAAUAGCUUAUUUCCUUUAACAAACCAAGGGAAAAAUGGGAUCUUUGUUUAGUUAUUUUAUUUUAUUUUAUUUUGGAGAAGGAGUCUCACUCUGUUGCCCAGGCUAGAGU